UAUCACUAAAAGCUUUUUUAAAAAAUAACAUAGAUACUAAUAGAAAAGAUAUUUUUACAAAAAAAUGGACAAAAUUUUUGUAAAGUAACUUUUGAUUAGUUGAAAUUUCUACUUUGGUAGAAAUAAUGUCAUCAACGACAACUGUACAAAUUAAUAUGAUUUAAAUAUACUCCACCACAGUCCCAAAAAUUAUCAAAGCUGAGAAAUCCAUAAGCGCAACAACGUUAUCCCAACUUUUGUAGAGCUUGAGGAACUUGUGAUACCAUGAAAAUCUUCAUAAAUGAACUCAUUUUACUCGAUGAUGCUUUAAUUGGUUAAAGUUAAAAGACUGCCAAAAGAUCAUUUUCUCAUCAAAUACAAAAAGAAAAUAAAAGUGUAGCUAUGAACGACAUGAAAAACCAUAUUAUCAAACCUCACAUCUUUCAAGUUCUUAAGAUUCAUGUAUCCCUCAAGUUCCUCAAAAUGAACUUCUCAACAUCUCGUAUGAUUAGAAUCAACGGCUCCUUU
rnacentral:lncRNA from 1 species